GCCCUUCCUUCCUUCCUUCCCUCCUUCCUUCCUUCCUUCCUUUUCUCUCUUUCUUUUUCUUUUCCUUCCUUCCUUUCUUCUUUUCUUUCUUUUCUGUUCUCUUUUUUUUUGAAACAGGGUCUUACUCUGCUGCCCAGGCUGCAGUGCAGUGGCACAAUCACAGCUCACUGCAGCUUUGGCCUGCCGGGCUCAAGCAAUCCUCCCACUUCAGCCUCCUGAGUAGCUGGGUCUACAGGUGCAUGCCACCAUGCCUGUUGAAAUUUUUUUCUUUUUAAUUUUGUAGAGAUGGAGUCUCACUAUGUUGCCUAGACUGGUCUUGAACUCUUGGGGUCAAGCAAUCCUCUUACCUUGGCCUCCCAAAGUGCUGGGAUUACAGGUGCAAGCCACUGGUCCCAGCCUCACAUUGGUUUUUUUGCCUCUCCGUGUUCAUCCUUCCUUUGACUUUUGUUCUCAUGUCUCUUUUCAUUAUCCUUUCCCUUUCCUUCCUGCUUACUGCCUCCCCUCUGUCUCUGUCUCUCCACUUCUGUCUCCUGCCCUCACCCCAUGACCCCCACCAGACCUUUCCAGCCAGGGCACCAGGUGGAUGCCUGGAGCAACACCUCCCUUUCCCCAGCUCCCUUACCCCCAAGGUUUUAGAAGUGCUUCCAGCCCCCAUGAUUCGGCUGUGUCCUGCCUUUUACAGGCAGAGUUCUGGACAGUGAGGGUGGAGGAAAUCUGAGUCUUCCAUGAAGCCUGCCAUUGUCAGACUCCGGCUCUGGAUAAGCACUUUCCUUUGGACUGCCUUGGUGUUUCCAUCUGUAAAAGGGGGGUAUGACCCGUGACUUAGCAGGGCUGUGGUGACGAUUAAGUGUGAUAAAUUUUAAAGAGCUGUCUCUGUGCUCAGCACCGUGAUGGAGCAAGCACUCCAAUCAGUAUUGCAGAAACAGGUAGCACUUCCCAAGCUUACUUAAACAUGAGAUGGCCAGGCGCAGUGGCUCAUGCCUGUAAUCCCAACACUUUGGGAGGCUGAGGAUCUGCCCAGCCUGGGCAACACAGCAAGGCCUCAUCUCUGUAAAAAUAAAAACAUUAGCUGGGCGUGGUGGCUCACACCUGUAGUCCCAGCUCCUCGGGAGGCUGAGGCGGGAAGAUCACUUGAGCCCAGUUCAAGGCAGAAAUUAAUUAAAAUCACACCACUACGCUUCAGCCUGGGUGACACGGUGAGACCUUGACUAAAAAAAAAAGACAAAAAACAGUGCCCUUUUUUUAACUCACAGCCUCCAGAAUUCCCUUGGGGAGGCUACAUAGCCCCUUCCCAGGUACCACUCCAUUCUUGACACCUCCUCAGGGUAUCUCCAUGACAGUCAAGAUACAGUCUCUUGAUUCCCUCCUUGGUGGCACUGAAGAGGAGAUCCUUGGAUGGCAGAUGGUGACUACAAGAGCUGAGGCUCCAGGCCUGGAGUGGCCUUUCCUUCCAGAUUCUGGCUUCAGGCACUGGAGGCUCCACACUUAACAGUCUCCUGAGCUGUGUUCUGUGGGACGUGGAUUCCCAGAUAUGGUUCUGUCCCGGGAAAAAGUGCUCCAUGUUUUUUUUUUUUUUUCUUUUUUGAGACAGAGUUUCAUUCUUGUCGCCCAGGCUGGAGUGCAAUGGCACGAUCUUGGCUCACUGCAACCUCCACCUCCCAGGUUCAAGUGAUUCUCCUGCCUCAGCCUCCUGAGUAGCUGGGAUUACAGGCGCCCACUACCAUGCCCAGCUAAUUUUGUUUGUAUUUUUAGUAGAGACAGGGUUUCACCACAUUGGCCAGGGUGGUCUCGAACUCCUGACCUUGUGAUCCGCCCACCUCAGCCUCCCAAAGUGCUGGGAUCACAGGCAUGGGCCACCUAGCCCCGCCCAUGUUUUUUUUGUUUGUUUGUUUUUGUUUUGUUUUGUUUUGAGACAGAGUCUCACUCUGUCGCCCAGGUUGUAGUGCAGUGGCACGAUCUCAGCUCACUGCAGCCUCCCAGGUUCAAGUGAUUCUUCCGCUUCAGCCUCCCUAGUAGCUGUGAUUAGAGGUGCACACCACCACGCCUGGCUAAUUUUUUGUAUUUUUCGUAGAGACAGGGUUUUACCCUGUUGACCAGGCUGGUCUCAAAUUCCUGAGCUCAAGUGAUCCCCCCGCCUCCGCCUCCCAAAGUGCUGAGAUUAUAGGCAUGAGCCACUGCGUCCAGCCUUAUUAUUAUUUUUUGAGACAGAGUCUCACUCUGUCAUCCAGGCUGGAGUGCAGUGGCACAAACAUGGCUCACUGCAGCCUCAAACUCCUGUGCUCAAGUGAUCCUCCCACCUCAGGCUCCCAAGUAGCUAAAACUACAGAUGUGAGCCACCACGCCUGGCCAAUUAAAAAAAUUUUUUUGUAGAGACAGGGUCUUGCUCCGUUGUUCAGGCUGGUCUCAAACUGCUGGCCUCAAACGAUUUUCCUGCCUUGGCAUCUCAAAGUGCUAGGAUAACAGGCGUGAGACACCGUGCUCAGUGUCACAGUUAUUUUCUGAUGUUAGCCUUACCUUACUUGAAUAAUAAUAAAACCGAUUAAAAUGGUGCACUCUUGUGAGGCACGGUGGCUUACACCUGUUAUCCUAGCACUUUGGGAGGCUGAAGCAGGAGGAUCGUUUGAGGCUGGGAAUUCAAGACCAGCCUGGGCAACAUAGUAAGACCCUGUCUCUACAAAAAAAAAAAAAAAAAAAAAAAAAUUAAAGAAUUAGCUGGGCAUGGUGGCUCACACCUGUAGUCCUAGCUUCUCGAGAGCCUGAGGUGGGAGGAUCACUUGAGCACAGAAGUUCGAGGCUGCAAAUGAGCUAUGAUCACACCACUCUACUCCAGCCUGGAUAACAGAGCAAGACUUUGUCUCAAAAUAAGUACAUCAAUUAAACAAAAAUAAAAGAAUUAGCCAGGCAUGGUGGCAUGCACCUGUAAUCCUAGCUAUUCCGGAGGCUAAGGUAGGAGGACUGCUUGAGCCCAGGAGUUCACGGCUGCAGUGAACUAUGAUCAAGCCGCUGUACUUCAGCUUGGGUGACAGAAUGAGACCUUGUCUCAAAGAAAAAAGAAAAAGCAACACUCCGUCUCAAAAAAAAAGAAAAAAGAAAAAGAAGGCUGGUCACGGUGGCUCACGCCUGUAAUCCCAGCACUUUGGGAGACCGAGGCAGGCAGAUCACGAGGUAAACAGUGAAACUCCGUCUCCUAAAUAUACAAAAAUACAAAAUAUACUAAAAAUACAAAAAUUAGCUGGGCAUGGUGAUGCGCACCUGUAGUCCCAGGUACGCGGGAGGCUGAGGCAAGAGAAUCGCUUGAACCCAGGAGGCAGAGGUUGUGAGCUGAGCAUCGCGCCACUGCACUCCAGCCUGGGCAACAGAGCAAGACUCUGUC
rnacentral:lncRNA from 1 species